UUCAUUUUAGAGCUCAAUGGACAUGUUAACAACAAACAAGUCACAGAAAAAAGAGAACUGUUGAUCUAGAAGAUUGACCUGAGGAAAUCACCCAAAGCCUAUCAACCCAGGAAGGAGCAGGAUCUGAACACCCAAUACCUGCAAGGAUGGCUUAGAAGUUGUCCAGGAUAGUGUGGCAGUCCUCAGAUGCCGAGCUGUGGAGUCUCUCCCUCAUUUGGGAAAUGACAGAGAGCCACUGUUAUUCUGAAGCAGCGACAGGAUCAGAGCUUGCUCCUGCUGAGGAAGUUGUGAGUAACAGACCACAGCCAUGACCAUCAGAAUGGGAAAGAGGGUGCAGAUGAGACUCACGUGCCUGCGGGAGAAGCAGUGCCAGGCUGCGAGGGCCCUGGAGAUACCAACGGUGUGGGCAUAGCUUCAGACCUAGGGGCGGGGCCGUCUACAGGAGCAGCGAGUCAGGAAGAUGUGUGCCAAGUCAGACAUAAUGAAUCUGAAGUGUCAGAGGAACAGAGAGGCCAAGAUGCCCACAUUUUUUCCCCUAAGUGUCCUCCAGGAGGUCUGUCACCAGAGAGGCUAUUCCAGAACAGGAACUUUACUCGGUGACUUCCUUCAAAUCAUAAAGAUACUGCGAGGAAGUGGACACAUUGGGACAGCUGUUAGUGAUUUCCUCAGAAGCCCCACCAUGCCACCACUCACCCCCAGGGCUGUCACAUGACCCAGGCUGAUCCGAGCGUAGCACCUCCUCCCACUGGCCCCAUGAUUGGUCCAAGCUGGGCAGGGGUCCUUGGCAGAGGAAUCAAAUUCCCUGGAAAUGUCUUCAAUGGAAGCUCAAAGAACAAAGGUUUUUAUCUGGAAAGAUUUGAGUCUAGAGCAUGUUCCCUGCUAUUGAACGCUGCCCAUCUUCAGAAGCAGAGAAUGAAACCAAUUUUCAGAGUCAGCAAAGAAGAGAACCUGACAGUGCUGGUGGUGAUCCAGUCCUUGAACCCAGCCAGCUCUGAGGUGAAGCUUUUCCUUGGCUGGGCUCCAUGAGCUAACAAGAGUCCCUUUUUGGAUGAAGCCAUUCAAGUUGAGUUUCUAUCACUUGCAACUUAAGGAGUCCUGAGCAGUAUCGUAUUGCCAUCUUGAUUUGACAGAGAGAGGAAAUGAUGCUCAGAGAAGUUAGCUAAAUCCCUUGUGAUCACAAGAACACAUUAGGGUACAAGCUUCGGAACCUGAGUUUGCCUGGACCCCAAAGCCAGUGUUCUUUUCUUUAUACCAUUCUGCCUCUCAACUUGUCCCACAAUUGUGAUGCUCAAGAGAAGAGGUAAAUAAGCAGGUGUGUCUGGAUCUCUGCACACUGUGCGUAAUCCUCUAGUGAAACCAUCUGUGACAUUUUUAAAUGCCCGAUGCCGUGGAAAACAGGAGAUCUGCUCAUUUUACAAAUAUUCUCCGUUCUUCUUUCAGUGAUAACUCUUCCACUUGCUCCAGCUUUACAAACAAAACACCUACUUUCAGCUUGAGAAGAACCGUCAGACAGGCUAUUUGCAGUUUGCCACUUAGAGGGAGUGUGAGAGAACUUUGUGUUUUGGGGCACAAUUCUUCACUAAGGACCGGGGUGGAGAAGGGGGAAGAUGCUCUAAAUGGGGCAGCCAUCCACCUUCCAGCUUGAGAAGAACAGGAGCUGACGCGGUUGAAGAGAGUGUGGCUGGGGAUUCAGGAUUGCAUAACAUCAUGAAACCUUCUCUCUAGAACAUUCUUGUUAGCAUGUGUUGGUUCCAGCAAAGACAACUUCUGAGCUUGUUUGUUCCAAAUUUCAGAUUCACAGAAGACAGAUACUGCUUCAUACAGGACGGAUCAGAGGACAAAUCCUAAAUUACCCACCCACGGAGGGGGCCAGGGUCACACAGAGACCGAGAAAAGAUUGAAGGAGAAAGACAGGCAGAUCUCCCUAAAUCUGCCCAGGAGCACGGAAUCCAGAGACUCAGGGCUCCAGGUCAUUGCUGGUCCUGUCCUGUUGGGAGAAUUUCUGCUGUUUAGGUAACCCCCUGGGAGUCACGUGAGUGGGAUCAUCGUGUUAGAGGCCAGGCUCCACUCACCUCACACAUGACGCCCGGAUACUUGCUGCUCUCAGGAUCUCUUUCAGCACAGGACCAGGUCAUCAGACAGGAGAAGAAGACUACAAUUCAUGUGGUGUGUUCUUGAAGAGGCCACCCCUCAUUUCUCCUCAUUACAAUCUCCACAUCUCAUGUCUUCGUUGUUAAAGAGGAGGGAGAUGGGAGGGAGGGUGUGAAGAAAAUGGUAGACAUUGCCAUCUUUUCUAGCUCACACAUCCCAUGAUUCUUGCAUUUGGUGAACCUGUCCAAAACAGCUCAGUAGGAGCCAGUGCCUCCGAUUCUCCUGGGAAAAUUGCUACCUUCAUAGGGUGCUGGAAAGCACACUGCACCAGAACCAGCCAGAUGUCUACCUGGGGAUGAAGCCACAGAAGCACCAGCAGGAAGACAGAGAGAGUGCCAUGGGACCUCUUGAAAUAUUAAUUGAGGCAUUUUCCCUUCUCAUCACUAGAACCAGACCAGACUUACUGUGCUAAGGAAGGGAAGACACAAAGGAACCCCAAGAGAACAGUUCCAUUCUUGACUUUGAGUUCCAAGAGUCUUCAAGUCAUGGUUCUCAGUUGCAAGAACCAAGCAAUAGGGUGGGAAUUGGGAAGGGGAAGAUUUCUUUGGAUUCAAAAAGCUUAGCUUUAAAUACCUGGUGCCAAACCUAGAGGAUUCAGAGCCUAGAACAGAGGUCAGCAAACUCUUCUGUAAAGGGCCAAAGUCCUCAUCUCAAUGACUCAACCCCGCCAUUGUGCAGGCAGCUCACAGACAGUAAGUAGACAAAUGAGGGAGCUGUGUUCCAAUGUAACUUCAUUCACAAAAACAGGCUUCAACCAGAUUUGCCACAUGAGCCCUAACCUAGGGUGUUUUUUGGAAACCAGAGAAUAGGAAAGAAUAAGGUCCUUUUCUCUUAUUGGUCUGGGGGCAAAGUUUUAGAAGGGAAUGGAACAGGAAAGCAAGAAAACUGAAAUGCUAGUGUAGCCUUCAUCUCUUUGCCCUCACCUGAGUGGACAAGGGAGGUGGUGAUAAAAUCCUGGAUGGGCUUGGAGAUUUUGAAACAGAGGGCCCUGUACGCAUUAUUCUUCCUAACUGUAGGAGGAAACAGUCCUAAAGAAUACCCCACAUCAUCAUAGGAUGGCCAGAGGAGAGCAGAAAAGGCAGUGUGGUGAGUUUAGCAGAGAGGGUCUGGGUCAGCCCUCCCACACCCCCAGGUCUUCCUUGCCUCCCACAGUACAAAGGGAAAAUCUGAACUUUCCACAUGCCCAAGUAGGGGUGUGGAAGGAGUCUUGGAGAGUCCUGGUCUGGUCAAGAGGAUGGCGAGGAGUGAAGAGAGCAGACCCCAUAGCAGAGCCAGCAGGUGCAAUGCACAGAGGGAAAUCAGUUUGGUCGGAGCCAAGUGGAUGUUGGUCAGCAGAAGACCUCACCUGGCUCCCAGGGAGUCCUCAAGAUUGGCCUUGCUAAAAGAAGGGACAAGUAACAUCAGUGAUGGAUGCCCGGGGAAGAGGAUCCGUGGAGCUCAGCUUCUUCCCCGGCACCAUCACAUGUGUGAUGAUAUACUAACUCCUCGGCUUAGGUUCCUGCUGGGCAAGAGGAAAGAAGAGAAAGAGGGAAUCAGAGAUUGUCUAGGGAUUGAAAUAUUAAUUGAGGCAUUUUCCCUUCUCAUCAUUAGUACCCAGAGGGACAUAGGGUCUAAACUGGAAUCACCUGGAAUUGGCAAGAUUAGGUUUUCUAUCACAGCGUGAGAAGAGGCUCUUUGAGAAUGAUCCUAAGUUCAAGUACAGGGAAACAAAGUUAUAUUUGGGAGCAUCAGACUUUGUGACUAUGAAGUUGAACUUAGCUGUUUAGGAUAAGAAGGGAGAAACCAAGGCAAGAGCAUGAAAAUGUGCGCAGGUCCCUAAGGUAGACAGUGUUUGCACCUCAGGGACACAUUCAAGUCUGUCCUGGGCUUCAGGUUACAUAGACGGUCACCUCGACCCCAUCACUGAGGCCUGAUGGAAUUUGAAGAAGGCAUAAUUUUUGAGUGGAGGAUUGCAAGGCCUCAGAGGCUAAGGUGUAGAGUCUUUCCGAAGUCUGUGGGUCCGGCUGGUCCAUACCUGCAAGUGUGUCCAGCCUGUGUAGGUGUCCUCACUUCAAACAAACAUUGACAUCUCGGGGGCAGAGACGGGGAGGCCCUGAGUGCUUAGAGUUUCCAGCAGAUUUCUUUUCACAGCUUAUGAUUCACAGGGUAAGUAAUUAUCCAGCAUCUGACACGGGGCUUGCAUGUUGCAGUUUGAAUAAAUUAAUUAGUUAAUGAAUACCUCUACCAUUUCCUCCUGGUUCAGUUAUUUGCUCAUCUUGUCAUUGUCUCAUAGCAAUUAUGCCGCACUGUAAUUAUUUGUUGAGCUCUUUGUCUCCCCAGGUGAACUCAAGAGCAAGGACUGUGCCUUUAUUAUUUUUAGCUUCUAUUUAUGCAAACAGAUAAAACGUAAAAC